AUUGAACGCUGGCGGCAUGCCUUACACAUGCAAGUCGAACGGUAACGGGUCCUUCGGGAUGCCGACGAGUGGCGAACGGGUGAGUAAUAUAUCGGAACGUGCCCAGUAGUGGGGGAUAACUGCUCGAAAGAGCAGCUAAUACCGCAUACGACCUGAGAGUGAAAGGGGGGGAUCGCAAGACCUCUCGCUAUUGGAGCGGCCGAUAUCAGAUUAGCUAGUUGGUGGGGUAAAGGCCUACCAAGGCAACGAUCUGUAGUUGGUCGGAGAGGACGACCAGCCACACUGGGACUGAGACACGGCCCAGGCUCCUACGGGAGGCAGCAGUGGGGAAUUUUGGACAAUGGGCGCAAGCCUGAUCCAGCAAUGCCGCGUGCAGGAAGAAGGCCUUCGGGUUGUAAACUGCUUUUGUCAGGGAAGAAAUCUUCUGGGCUAAUACCCCGGGAGGAUGACGGUACCUGAAGAAUAAGCACCGGCUAACUACGUGCCAGCCGCCGCUGUAAUAC
rnacentral:rRNA from 1 species